rnacentral:rRNA from 1 species
AUGGUCCUCAGAGAUACCAGGGAUAUGUUGCAAUCCAUGGGAAAGGAUAUUACAAACUAUGGACUUCCGGAAUUGGUUGAUACCGAUGGUUCUUAUGGCGGUGAGUACAGAGAGGUAACAGAGGAGAGGCAAAUCAGCGUGGACAAAGAACAUCUAGAUUUAUUUACCAGUUUGAACACUGAGCAGCUGGCUGGUUUCAAUGACAUAAUGGAUCAUGUGGUGAACCAAAAAAGCCAGAUAUUCUUUGUUGAUGGUCCGGGCGGCACUAGGAAGACAUACUUGUACAAGGCAUUGCUUGCAAAGGUGCGUUCGAUGGGAAAAAUAGCCAUCGCAACUGCUACAUCAGGUAUUGCGGCGUCGAUAAUGCCUGGAGGACGAACAACACACUCCAGGCAGAGUGGUACAACUGAUUUGCUUAAACAAGCGUCUUUGAUAAUUUGGGAUGAAGUCGCUAUGACAAAACGUCAAGAAGUUGAGACGCUUGAUAGAUCACUACAGGAUAUAAUGGAAAGUCGUUUGCCGUUUGGGGGAAAGGUUGUCGUCUUUGGUAGUGAUUUCAGGCAGGUCCUUCCUGUUGUGACACGUGGGACAAGAGCACAGUCUGAUCCUUGGUUCUCCGAAUACCUCCUAAGGAUCGACAAUGGAACGAAAGAGACAAUUGGAGACGACUAUGUUCGUCUCCCUGACGACAUUGUGAUCGGCUAUACUGAGGAUGAAAAACCUAUUAACACACUCAUCGAAGAUGUCUUCCCAUCGUUGCAUGCCAAUGCUAGAUCGAGAGAGUACAUGAGGGCACGUGCAAUUCUUUCGACCAAGAACGAUCAUGUGGAUGACCUGAAUGACAAGAUGAUCUCAAGGUUUCCAGGCGAAGAAAAAUUAAAGGUCAAAUGUCCGGUCAUUCUGCUCCAGAACCUCGACUCUCAUAAUGGCCUAUGCAGGAACACGACUUAUGAUUAG